GGUGCUCCACUCUGUGCUCAGCUGCUCGGCACAGCCCCGCCUGGCACGCAGCUCCAACAGCGGGUCCUGGAGUAGUCGGUCCCACCCACCCGGUGCGGCGGCCCCUCGGGUUUCAGUCCAAGGGAAAGGACCAGCGCUCCAGAAAGUCCCAGUGACAAAGAAAGACCCUGCCUCAAGAAGAAUAAGGAAGAAGAAGGAAGAGAAGAAGGAAGAGAAGAAGAAGGAGAAGAAGGAGGAGGAGGAGGACAAGGAGAAGAAGAAGGAGGAGGAGGAGGAGGAAGAGGAAGAGGAGAGGAAGAGGACACUUUAAUGUUCAGAUGGGGAAGAAAAAACCUGACUGAGUGAGGUUUGGUGUCCUGUUUCUUAUAGAACAAUUACCUCAUCUUUCCCUCCAUAUUCAUCCUGUGAAGACACUAUGCUUUCUCUAAUAUUCGUAUUUCUCAGGUACCCUGGUACCAUGUUGAAGAGAACUCCAAAACGAUAGAGUUUAUCACCUCAGAGUCCUGCCUGGAACAACAAUCACUGAUUAACUUUGAGUUCUGUUACAGACCCUGUGUAGUGAGUCAUAUGAAGAUGCAAUGAGGAGACAGCUGUCUGUAAACCGGGAAGAUGGCCCUCACCAAAUUCUACCACGCAGCCUUCUGACAUUGAUCUUCUUGACUACAGAAGUCACCAGGAAAUGUCUAAGAAAUGAAUAAAUGAAUGCAUGCAAGCUCGGAGGUCUUGACAAUAACCUACUUCGAGUUUGAAAAUGCAGCACCGGAAUGUUUGCAUUCGACUUACCAGAAGCUUCUCCCUCACCUCUUGGCUGUGAACCUCCAUAGCGCCCUCCCACAGCAUGUCAAAGGUGUUGUUGGAUCAGCAGUCCCCCUAUUCUGGAACAUUUUAUCUUUCUACUUCAUUUGUGUUGUUUGUGUUGGAGGUACCCCGAUCUUACAGAGCUAUUUCUCUGACUUUAGAUGAUGGGCACCCAACAUAAGGUGAGCCAAUUUCUAAACCUGAGACCAGAAUGCAUGUGAGUCAGUUUUUCUCCAGGCAUGGGAAGACAAGUUUUCUGCUACAUGGAGUAAGCCAGACCAUAGAGUAUGAUGUAGAGACCAAAGAACCAAGGAAAGAUAGAGAUAGAGUAGGUAUCCUGACACCAUUUCUAAACCCCUUGUUCCAAUUUUUUAAAAGCCAACGGAGCUCUGCAUAUUUCCUGUUGGGUGAUUCAGCUGUCAAGUGCCCCAAGAUGCUUUCACUAAGUUCUUUAUUCAUUGGCGUUAUGGUCUUAACAAUACCACUGGCUUUUGUCAAUUUGAUGUAGGUUUCUGUCGGUGGGGAAAAAUAAGUCCAAAAUCACACAAUCCAAAUGUACCAGAGAAGCAUGUGGCUGAGUAGACAGUGAUUUGUGGUUAUGACUAAGUCUCUAUUCUAGACACCAUCAUUUCCUCAACUCUGUCACGAAAGAAGCCUAGAAUGUUUGCUUGGGAAUGCAAAUAUUCUUUAAACCGAGAGACAGGUUAUGGUUGUACCAGAAAAGGCAGAGGGAGGCUUUUUACUUUUCAUGUAUAAACUAGAAUAGGUAGUAAAAAUCAUUUUACUGAAUGAACUCUGGCUUUUUUCCUUCAUUUUUCCAAUUCCAUAAAAUCUACAUAGUUCUAAGUUUUGUUGUGAAGAUUAAAUAAUACAAUGAAUGUGAAAUACGUAGCAUAAUUCUUGACAUGGAGUAAUAAAUAUAGCUCUUCUAAUUAUUCCUUUUCUUGUAAAAAUCAUGCCACAGUCUUCUAAUUUUUAAAUCAUUUCUUGUUUCAAAAGUGAAUGUCUUAGAUAAAGCAGAGAUUUACUGUGCCCCCAUCACUCUUGUUAUUUAGGGUUCUAUUAUCAUUUGCUGAAUCACUAAAUCUCCAGUGAUUUGCAUGCUUGGUUUGGUUAAUAAAUAGUAAAAAUAG
ensembl:lncRNA